GACGAACGCUGGCGGCGUGCUUAACACAUGCAAGUCGAACGGAAAGGCCCUGCUUUUGUGGGGUGCUCGAGUGGCGAACGGGUGAGUAACACGUGAGUAACCUGCCCUUGACUUUGGGAUAACUUCAGGAAACUGGGGCUAAUACCGGAUAGGAGCUCCUGCUGCAUGGUGGGGGUUGGAAAGUUUCGGCGGUUGGGGAUGGACUCGCGGCUUAUCAGCUUGUUGGUGGGGUAGUGGCUUACCAAGGCUUUGACGGGUAGCCGGCCUGGGAGGGUGACCGGCCACAUUGGGACUGAGGUACGGCCCAGACUCCUACCGGAGGCAGCAGUGGGGAAUAUUGCACAAUGGGCGGAAGCCUGAUGCAGCAACGCCGCGUGCGGGAUGACGGCCUUCGGGUUGUAAACCGCUUUCGCCUGUGACGAAGCGUGAGUGACGGUAAUGGGUAAAGAAGCACCGGCUAACUACGUG
rnacentral:rRNA from 1 species